rnacentral:rRNA from 1 species
AUUAGAUACCCCAAUAGUCAAAGCAGAAAAUGAUGAAUGUCAUAGAUUAGAUAUACAAUUUAUUCUAUAAAUGAAAGUGUAAGCAUUCCACCUCAAGAGUAAUUUGGCAACAUUGGAACUGAAAUCAUUAGACCGUUUCUGAAACCAGUAGUGAAGUAUGUUGUUUAAUUUGAUGAUACGCAAAAAACCUUACCACAAUUUGAAUAUUUAUAUAAAUCUUUUAUUGAUUUUUACUAACAUAUAUGUAAACAAUUAAAAUGAUGCUUAAAUCUCGUUUGCGAGAUUAAGCAUCAGAAAAGAUAAUAUAUUUACAAGCGUUGCACGGCUGUCUUCAGUUAAUGUCGUGAGAUUUUGGUUAGUUCCAUUAAAUUAACGUAAACCCUUACUUUAUUUUUAUAUAAAGUAGUUCUCCGCUAUAUUGGAUAUGAUAACAGGGACUAAGACAAG